ACAGCAGUCGCCGCGGUAAUACAGAGGGUGCGAGCGUUAAUCGGAUUUACUGGGCGUAAAGCGUGCGUAGGCGGCUUUUUAAGUCGGAUGUGAAAUCCCUGAGCUUAACUUAGGAAUUGCAUUCGAUACUGGGAAGCUAGAGUAUGGGAGAGGAUGGUAGAAUUCCAGGUGUAGCGGUGAAAUGCGUAGAGAUCUGGAGGAAUACCGAUGGCGAAGGCAGCCAUCUGGCCUAAUACUGACGCUGAGGUACGAAAGCAUGGGGAGCAAACAGGAUUAGAUACCCGGGUAGUCCCUGUCUCUUAUAC
rnacentral:rRNA from 1 species